ACGAUCGAUACCUAUUUUAUCGAUCGUUUAUAUCGAUCGAUAAGCUAAUAAUAACCUUUGUCAGUAACAUGCACAGAUACACAGACAUGAGAUUCAGGGAACAACAGAACCACAAUUCAGAAAACCCCGCCAGCCGGACCUCCGGCACUGUAACCCUUUACCUGAACCUGCCGGUAUCCACGUUUGUGGAUACCGGCUUUUUUAUUCACC
rnacentral:sRNA from 1 species